AGGACCCCGCUCGUGCAGAUCCGGAGAGAUCAAUUUUUUGAGCCAACACGCACUCUGAGGGAUCCCCGCUUCGUUCGUCGAUCACACGCCUCCUUGGAGGAAGUGAGAAGCGGCCGAGAGGGGUCCCACCGUAGCAAUGAGGGCGUCAAAAAAUCCUCUCUGGAGACACACGGCGGGGUCUUU
rnacentral:other from 1 species